rnacentral:rRNA from 1 species
UACGUAGGGUGCAAGCGUUGCUCGGAAUCACUGGGCGUAAAGGGUGCGUAGGCGGGUCUUUAAGUCAGGGGUGAAAUCCUGGAGCUCAACUCCAGAACUGCCUUUGAUACUGAAGAUCUUGAGUUCGGGAGAGGUGAGUGGAACUGCGAGUGUAGAGGUGAAAUUCGUAGAUAUUCGCAAGAACACCAGUGGCGAAGGCGGCUCACUGGCCCGAUACUGACGCUGAGGCACGAAAGCGUGGGGAGCAAACAGG